rnacentral:rRNA from 1 species
GAUGAACGCUGGCGGUAUGCUUAACACAUGCAAGUCGAACGGACUCUUCGGAGUUAGUGGCGGACGGGUGAGUAACGCGUGAGAAUCUGGCUUUGGGUUCGGGACAACCACUGGAAACGGUGGCUAAUACCGGAUGUGCCGAGAGGUAAAAGAGAAAUUGCCUGAAGAUGAGCUCGCGUCUGAUUAGCUAGUUGGUGAGGUAAAGGCUCACCAAGGCAGCGAUCAGUAGCUGGUCUGAGAGGAUGACCAGCCACACUGGGACUGAGACACGGCCCAGACCCCUACGGGAGGCAGCAGUGGGGAAUUUUCCGCAAUGGGCGAAAGCCUGACGGAGCAAUACCGCGUGAGGGAAGAAGGCUCUUGGGUUGUAAACCUCUUUUCUUAGGGAAGAACAAAAUGACGGUACCUAAGGAAUCAGCAUCGGCUAACUCCGUG